UAGAUUGAAGCCAGUUGGUUAGGGUAUUUAGCUGUUAACUAAAAUUUCGUGGGAUGAAAGCCCACCAAUCUAG
rnacentral:tRNA from 2 species